rnacentral:rRNA from 1 species
UACGGAGGGUGCAAGCGUUAAUCGGAAUUACUGGGCGUAAAGCGCACGCAGGUGGCUGAGUCAGUCGAUUGUGAAAGCCCUGGGCUUAACCUGGGAAUUGCAGUCGAUACUACUCAGCUAGAGUAUGGGAGAGGGUAGUGGAAUUCCCGGUGUAGCGGUGAAAUGCGUAGAUAUCGGGAGGAACAUCGAUGGCGAAGGCAGGUCUCUGGGCAUUAACUGACGCUGAGGAGCGAAAGCAUGGGGAGCGAACAGG